AGACGUCUACAUUAGAUACCCGUGUAGUCCCAGCCCUAAACGAUGCGCGUUAGGUGUAUCGGUGACCACGAGUCACCGAGGUGCCGAAGGGAAACCGUGAAACGUGCCGCCUGGGAAGUACGGUCGCAAGGCUGAAACUUAAAGGAAUUGGCGGGGAGCACCACAACGGGUGGAGCCUGCGGUUUAAUUGGACUCAACGCCGGGAAGCUCACCGGAUAAGACGGCGGAAUGAUUGCCGGGCUGAAGACCCUGCAUGACCAGCUG
rnacentral:rRNA from 1 species